rnacentral:rRNA from 1 species
AGAGAGCUUGCUUUCUUGAGCGAGUGGCGAACGGGUGAGUAACGCGUGAGGAACCUGCCUCAAAGAGGGGGACAACAGUUGGAAACGACUGCUAAUACCGCAUAAGCCCACGGCUCGGCAUCGAGCAGAGGGAAAAGGAGCAAUCCGCUUUGAGAUGGCCUCGCGUCCGAUUAGCUAGUUGGUGAGGUAAUGGCCCACCAAGGCGACGAUCGGUAGCCGGACUGAGAGGUUGAACGGCCACAUUGGGACUGAGACACGGCCCAGACUCCUACGGGAGGCAGCAGUGGGGAAUAUUGCACAAUGGGGGAAACCCUGAUGCAGCGACGCCGCGUGGAGGAAGAAGGUCUUCGGAUUGUAAACUCCUGUUGUUGAGGAAGAUAAUGACGGUACUCAACAGGGAAGUGACGGCUAACUACGUGCCAGCAGCCGCGGUAAAACGUAGGUCACAAGCGUUGUCCGGAAUUACUGGGUGUAAAGGGAGCGCAGGCGGGAAGACAAGUUGGAAGUGAAAUCCAUGGGCUCAACCCAUGAACUGCUUUCAAAACUGUUUUUCUUGAGUAGUGCAGAGGUAGGCGGAAUUCCCGGUGUAGCGGUGGAAUGCGUAGAUAUCGGGAGGAACACCAGUGGCGAAGGCGGCCUACUGGGCACCAACUGACGCUGAGGCUCGAAAGUGUGGG